rnacentral:misc_RNA from 1 species
GUGAAUCAUCAAAUCUUUGAACGCAAAUUGCGCCUUUUUCUGUAGGCAUGUCUGUUUGAGGGCACCAUUUAACAAAUAAUGUGCAGCGUUUAUUGUUGCACACGUUGAUGGGCGUUCCAACAAUUUUAAAUUUUUGGUGGCGCAUAAUGAACAGCGUGAAAGUUUUUUUCAGUUCAAGUGUAGAAUAAUCUUUUCUUUGGUUCUGAAAAAACAUAAUCGCGCAUUGGGUUUGCCAAUUUC